GAUGAACGCUGGCGGCGUGCUUAACACAUGCAAGUCGAACGAAGCACUCUACUUGAUUUCCUUCGGGAAUGAUUGUUUUGUGACUGAGUGGCGGACGGGUGAGUAACGCGUGGGUAACCUGCCUCAUACAGGGGGAUAACAGUUGGAAACGACUGCUAAUACCGCAUAAGCGCACAGCUUCGCAUGAAGUGGUGUGAAAAACUCCGGUGGUAUGGGAUGGACCCGCGUUGGAUUAGCUUGUUGGUGGGGUAACGGCCCACCAAGGCGACGAUCCAUAGCCGACCUGAGAGGGUGACCGGCCACAUUGGGACUGAGACACGGCCCAAACUCCUACGGGAGGCAGCAGUGGGGAAUAUUGCACAAUGGGCGAAAGCCUGAUGCAGCGACGCCGCGUGAAUGAAGAAGUAUUUCGGUAUGUAAAGUUCUAUCAGCAGGGAAGAAGAAUGACGGUACCUGACUAAGAAGCACCGGCUAAAUACGUGCCAGC
rnacentral:rRNA from 1 species